rnacentral:rRNA from 1 species
AACACAUGCAAGUCGAGCGCCCCGCAAGGGGAGCGGCGGACGGGUGAGUAACACGUGGGAAUUUUCCUCAAGGUACGGAACAACUCAGGGAAACUUGGGCUAAUACCGUAUGAUGCAGAGAUGCCAAAGAUUUAUCGCCUUGGGAUAAGCCCGCGUCAGAUUAGGUAGUUGGUGGGGUAAUGGCCUACCAAGCCUGUGAUCUGUAGCUGGUCUGAGAGGACGAUCAGCCACAUUGGGACUGAGACACGGCCCAAACUCCUACGGGAGGCAGCAGUGGGGAAUCUUGCGCAAUGGGCGAAAGCCUGACGCAGCGACGCCGCGUGGGUGAUGAAGGCCUUCGGGUUGUAAAGCCCUGUGGGGAGGGACGAAUAACACAUACCUAAUACGUAUGUAGAUGACGGUACCUCCUUAGCAAGCACCGGCUAACUCUGUGCCAGCAGCCGCGGUAAGACAGAGGGUGCAAACGUUGUUCGGAAUUACUGGGCGUAAAGCGCGUGUAGGCGGCUUGGAUAGUCGGGUGUGAAAGCCCGGGGCUCAACCCCGGAAGUGC